AUCAAUUCUUGGUCCUUUGUCUAAGAUCGGGUGUAGUAUCUGUUCUUAUCAGUUUUACUAUCUCAUACUCCUCCACUCUGGGGCCCAUUUAUUUAGGGGAAUUUUAAAAUAGAAAGAUGGAAGAAAGGCUUUCUCUUUCCACUCCUCACCUUGACCUGGUAUUGCAGUAUUUCCAGGACUGGUACACAAU